rnacentral:rRNA from 1 species
GUAGAGCACUCCUACGGGAGGCAGCAGUGGGGAAUAUUGCACAAUGGGCGCAAGCCUGAUGCAGCCAUGCCGCGUGUAUGAAGAAGGCCUUCGGGUUGUAAAGUACUUUCAGCAGUGAGGAAGGUGGGUAUGUUAAUAGCAUACUCAUUUGACGUUAGCUGCAGAAGAAGCACCGGCUAACUCCGUGCCAGCAGCCGCGGUAAUACGGAGGGUGCGAGCGUUAAUCGGAAUUACUGGGCGUAAAGCGCAUGCAGGUGGUUUGUUAAGUCAGAUGUGAAAGCCCGGGGCUCAACCUCGGAAUUGCAUUUGAAACUGGCAAACUAGAGUACUGUAGAGGGGGUAGAAUUUCAGGUGUAGCGGUGAAAUGCGUAGAGAUCUGAAGGAAUACCGGUGGCGAAGGCGGCCCCCUGGACAGAUACUGACACUCAGAUGCGAAAGCGUGGGGAGCAAACAGGAUUAGAUACCCUGGUAG